GUACCGUCUCUUUCGUUCUUACUUGGAAUGACCGAAAUGGAGUGACUAUACGACUUGAAGUUCUUGCUGUUUCGAAGGAAAUUUGAGAUGGCUCUUCCGUUUCAACGCAGUGAUGACAACUUGACACGUUCUUCGCCGCUGCUUGGUUGGUACACGUUAUACGACGUAAAAUAAAAAGGCAAAAUACACCCUAAUAUGGCCGCAAAAAAUGGUUGCGAAAUUUUUGCAAUUCUGCAAUAUUGAUCACGGGUCGAAAAUAUAGACACCGUAUGAUGCAUAAAAUGAUGAAAUACACGUUGAAAAUUCUUCAAACUGUAGAUAUGAGGAUAACUUGGAACUCGCCACAGGGAAGGUCUUCUCCACACCGGUCGGUACUUUUGUGCCCAAAUGCAGCCUCCCACUCGCAGAUUCUUCGUAAUGACGCAAAUACGGUCGCAAAGAACGAGGGGAUCGUAUAUAGACGCAGCUUACUAUUUGUGCAGACUCACGUAUAUUCCGCCGGUAAUUUAGUGGAUAAAAAGGACUUAUAUUCCACUCGAAGGACUAAUUCAUCCGGCUCGAAGGACCAAUUCUUUUGUUUAGCACAAAGAUAAGUUUGAUAAUGAACUUCACUGAUUUUAAUUAAUUAAUUUUGUGGAAGUAAAAUAAAACCACCAUUAUAGUUACAUGGUUAAA